UGGGGAAUCUUGCACAAUGGGGGCAACCCUGAUGCAGCGACGCCGCGUGAGCGAUGAAGCCCUUCGGGGCGUAAAGCUCUUUCGACCGGAACGAUAAUGACGGUACCGGGAGAAGAAGCGGCGGCUAACUACGUGCCAGCAGCCGCGGUAAUACGUAGGCAGCAAGCGUUGUUCGGAGUUACUGGGCGUCAAGAGUGCGUAGGCGGUUUUCUAAGUUCGGUGUGAAAUCUCCCGGCUUAACUGGGAGGGUGCGCCGAAGACUGGGAAGCUGGAGUGUGGAAAGGCAGGCGGAAUUCCUGGUGUAGCGGUGAAAUGCGUAGAUAUCAGGAGGAACACCGGCGGUGUAGACGGCUUGCUAGACCAUAACUGACGCUGAGGCACGAAAGCGUGGGUAGCAAACA
rnacentral:rRNA from 1 species